GUUUGCAUACAGAGAGAAACACGAAUUUACUACUGCCAUCUCUGUUACUCUGUGUGCAAUUACUAAAACAGUACAGAAACGUAUACAUUAGUAUUAAAAUGGCGAACCAUUAUGAUGUCCCGAGUUGGGCUGGUAAACCGCCGGUUGGUCUUCAUUUAGACGUUUUAAAGGGCGAUAAACUAAUCCAGAAAUUAAUGAUUGAUGAAAAGAAAUGUUAUCUAUUUGGUCGAAAUCCCCAGAUGAAUGAUUUCUGUAUUGACCAUGCAUCGUGUUCUCGAGUACAUGCAGCCCUUGUCUACCACAAGCAACUGAACAGGGCUUUUCUUGUGGAUUUGGGGAGUACUCAUGGAACAUUUAUUGGCUCAUUACGUCUGGAAUCCCAUAAACCAACUCAGCUUCCAAUUGACAGCACAUUUCACUUUGGUGCUUCUACACGGUAUUACAUAAUUCGUGAACGUCCUCAAACAGGAGCUCGGCCAAUCAUUGAGGAGUUGGAAAAGACAUCAGAGGAAGCUGAAGGUGGCUUGCUAGGCUUACCUGAAACAGAAACUGAACUGGAUAAUCUUACUGAGUUUAACACGGCACACAAUCGUCGUAUUUCGAUGUUGGGUAUUCCAGAUGAAGAGAUUCGUCCAACAUCACGUAAACGUAAGAAGAAAUCAUUGACUUUCAGUGAAGAGGAAGAAGUAAUCAAUCCUGAAGAUGUUGAUCCAUCAGUUGGCAGAUUUAGGAACAUGAUUCACACAACAGUCAUACCUACAAAGCGUCAGCGAGUGGAUGGAAUGGGACCUACUAGUGGAUUAACAAAUAGCUCAGAUGAUCGUCUGACGCUGAUGAAGCACCUCCAUCCUUCUGCUAUCAUGCCUCACCUUUAUCAAGAUUUGCCUCCUGAAAGCCAUGGUAAUGUCAGUAGUGGGGCAUCAGCCAGUUCUCCAACAGGAAUGUCUGCUUCUGCAGGUGGCAACAACCCCCUCCUCUUCUCGUCAGCCUUGGCUUCCCGGCUAGGUCUUGCUUUGCCAAACCCCGCUCCUGAAGUAGAAAUGGCACCCACUCCUCACCCACCGAGUGCAAUGCCAGGUCAGGGAGGACCCCUGGCUGCUGCAGCAGCUGAACUUAGUCAUGAACCUAAGAAAAAGAAGUAUGCAAAGGAAGCAUGGCCUGGCAAGAAACCCAUGCCCACACUCUUGGUCUGAGGUGCUGGCAUGGUGAGAAAUCUGUGUAUUUUAUGGGGAACAAAAUACACUUUCAGAAGGUUGGAUCUUCCUGAGGACACUGUGAAUUCUCAAGUAGUGAGCUGUUAGUAUGCAAAUAGUACGGGGCUUGAUCACAUCCACUUUCACAAGAAAUAAGUUUAUGCCAGUAUAUGCAUUCACAUCCAACCAGUCACCUGAAUAUGGGAACAGGUCAGACUAUAACUCAGUACAUCCAAUUUUAACUUUUUGGAACUUAUUCUAGAUUCCUUCACACAGAACAUAUCAAUAUUAAGUAUACAAUGGAAGGGCAUGCUGUAGUUUCAAAAGCACGCUUUCAAAACGUGUUAUUUAGAACUGCCCAUCCCUUAUUGUUUUUGAUGUUUAUUUAUUGCAGUUACAAGUCUCUUGUUGUCAGAAUUGAUCAGCACUGGCUGUAUGGAGGUCAUUAGAUACGCACUGUAUCAGAAACAUAAAGUUAUAUAGAUCUUGAUAACAUCUGUAUUUUAUAUCAUGUAGACAUUUUUCUGUGAUCAUUCAUUUUUAAGAUUUGAUUUGAGCUUCAUGUAAAAUAGUGGUUACAUUUGAUUGGUAUGGACCAAUAAAGUUCUCUGAACAACUUUCAUGUAUCUCCCCCCCGUACCAAAUUUCUCUGAAAUGUGUUAAGUAGUUUUAUAAAAGAAACAUGCAUGUAGAUGAGAAACAGGAUUUUUUAAUUUCACAUUUAUAGUUAGCUCAUCAUCCAAAGAAUGCAUAAAUUGUGGAAGAACAGGAGAAGUGUUAAACUCACUUUCCUAGGACCAAGCAGUAAUAAUUUAAAAAUAAUGGACUGUGUUCUCAGUUGGUAAUAACAUUGACAAACAGAUAAACAACAAUAUUAAAUUCACAUACUCAGGAAUUUAAAAAAAACUUGAAUUACAACAAGGUAUGAAUUCAGCUGGCACUGACAUGAAACAAAAUAGAGAGACUCCACCACUAAUGUUGAGUCAUGUACCUGAGCUGUUACAGAAAGAAAACAAGUUAGAAGAUAUAUGCACAGUGUAACAAUUCUGGCUUUUUCUCCAGAAUCAACAUGUGCAAAUGGUGCCAGUGAUAUCAAUUAUCUGGGUUAGUGACCUUUGUGUGGGUGUCUUCAUGGAGGAUUCUCACAUGUGGUUAUGUGACUGGCUAUGGAUUCUGGAGGUAACCAUGUAAACCAAGGUAAUUCUUGGAUUUCUCAAUCAGCCAUUUCCAUGCAAUUUUAUAGAAAAUCAGAAUGUGUCAACAAAUUUGACUAAAAUAUUGUAGUAUCAGAUUUGAUGAAAAUUUGUUCAGCUUGUCUUGAACUGUUCAAUGCAUAUGGACAGAUUGAUGAAGCAAUUUUUACAGAUGCUCCUCAGGAUUGUGUACAUGUUUAAAUACAGUAAGUGUUUAUUUAAUGUUAGCAUGACAAAAAACAAAAAAGAGAGAAGAGAAAUCAAGUAAGGCAUUGACACACACAUUCAUUUUACUUUUUGAUAAGUGUGAAAAUGAAACACCUUCAGUUGUUGAUACAUCUUGCGCCUAUUAUUGAAAGAGAAAAAGAAAAAGAAGAUAGUGCAUAUAUUUAUAUUAUUUGCAAAAGAAAUCAGAAUUUUGGAACUCUUAAACAAGGCAGAUAAGAAGGGAUGUAUUUCAGGCUUUAUGUCCUUUAUAUUCUGUAAUAUCUAAAUGAAAAUAAAACAUACAAAAUUAAACUGUUAUUAUUUACUAGAAACUAAUUCUAUAGAGUGAAGUUGGUAGUCUAGGGAUGAGUUACUGACUUUCUGCACAACAGUCUCAGGUUUAAAAAUGAGCUGGAUCCUUUGCCAUUUUUUCCCUCCCUCAUGUACACAUCAGAAGUUGGUGAAGUCAACAUUUUAUGAAUGUUGGAAUUUCAGGUCUGUACUGUGGUUUUGAAGCCAUAAACUGUAGGAUCAACCUUUUGUGUGCUCCUGGUUUUAAAUUAGUAGAUUUUUUUGCUGCAUGUGACUGCCAAAGAGCAAAGGGAAUUAUAACCAGUACUGAAAUAUACAACUAUAAGACUUUAAUAUUUAUAUGAUAUCAAAUUUUGUCCCUUUGGAAGUAAUGAAAUCAACGUUUCUUUAUAUAUUGUAUUUGCUUGUGGCCAUUUAUACACAUUUCAUGCAGGUGUCAGUUUGAUGGCAAGUUGAAAUAUGUCAUUUAACAUCAUAACAGUUUAAAGAUAUAUAGUUUAUAACCAAAACAAUGUACAUUAUAUAAAAUUAGAUAGAACUGAGUGUGUUUACUAUACAGGUUUGACAUGAAGGAGUUUUUUUCAGAGAUGUUUUUAUAUGGUAAUGACUGUUUUUAAACAUUCAUGUUGGAGCAGUAUUGUUCAGUCUUGUUAAUAAUUUACUUAUCCCACUCACUGCUGUGUGAAAUCAAGAAGAUGAGAGACAGGAUCUUCUGUUGCUACUUUAUUGUUUCCAUAAUCGAAGAGAUUGCUAAUUGAUAAAUUUUAUCGCAUAAAUUAUGUAUAUGAAAAAAAGAAGGCCAUCUUUACUAUUAGGAGAGUUUGUGUGGAUAUUGAAAAAUUCUUUUGUACCCAACUGCCACAUUUUAUUGCAUUUUUAAGAAGUUAUGUAAUGUUUGGUUUGUGUUAUUAAUUACAUGGGGAUUUAAAAAAUGCUGCAUCAUAAAAAUGUUUAUUUGUACUAUCUGUGAAAGUGAAAAAAUAUUUUUAUGAAAACUGGGUAGGUCCUGUACAGUAUUUUUAUUAAAAAUCUUCAUAUACUGGUGUUCAUUAAACUUCAUUACAUUCUGUAGAAAUUUAUUGUUGCAUGCUGUACAAAUGAGUUUUCAGCAAACUAAGACAUCAGUCAUCAAACCCAUAUACAGGAUUCUGGUUAAUUGGGAUACAUUGGGACUAGAACACUUUGGCCCAAUUAAGCAGCUGCCGCAAUUAUGCGAAUUUCCACGAAAAGAGUUAAAAAGGUUUGUUCUUUAAGAUUUGUUCCAAGUAAACGGCUGCCCCGAUUAACCGAUGCUCAAUUAACCAGAAUCUACUGUAUAUUAUUCUUUAAUCUCAAUCAUCAUGUGACAGUGAACCUAUUUGCUUUCUCAUGGCAGAGCAUAGUAGUCAAAUUUGUGUGGCUGUAAGAUUAUGCCUCAGACCAUGACAUAGAAAGUGAAGCAUGUGAUGUACAAAUUUUAAUGUCAUACUAUGCCAAAUAUGUCUUCCUACUCAUUUCUUACACUCAUAAUUUUUCAUUAAUGUCAUCUUUCAUAUGUGUGAAUGGUAUGCAUGAAAUAUAUGGGGCUUAUUUUUUCCUAAUUUCACAACAACAAAAUUAGGGUUUGUGAACUGUGAUAAAAUGUGGUUUUUACUACAGGGGACUGAAUACUCCAGAGUGCUGUGAACAAAGUGUUAUACCUCUCAAGGUAUUCUGAGAAUCAUCAUGAAGUAAUGAAGUGUAUCAUGUCCCAAUGCUCAGUGGGAUCUGAACUUGACUGUGUUGAUUCAUCAUGCAAACAAUUAAUGGUUUAAUGUAAGGAGGUACAUUUAAAUAAAUAUUGUAAUUUGUGAAAUAUGUAUUGCACAGUAUCAAGUGAGAAUAUCUGUAAAAGUUACCCAAGGUGCAAAAGGCAAAAUGGGAUGCAUGAAAUACAGAAAGAGGUUUCUCUGUUUACAGUUGUUCUUUAUACAUUGAUAUACAUUUGUCAUAAUUGUAAUCAGAAGGCAAGAAACAUACACAGAAGCCUUAAAACCAUACAAUGUAGUAAUAUAAACCAACCACUUUUACCAUU